GACGAACGCUGGCGGUGUGCUUAACACAUGCAAGUCGAACGGUAAGGCCCUUCCGGGGGUACACGAGUGGCGAACGGGUGAGUAACACGUGAGUAACCUGCCCUCAUCUCUGGGAUAACAGUCGGAAACGGUUGCUAAUACUGGAUAUGAGCUUGCAAGGCAUCUUGUGGGUUGGAAAGAUUUUUUGGUUGGGGAUGGACUCGCGGCCUAUCAGCUUGUUGGUGAGGUAGUGGCUCACCAAGGCUUCGACGGGUAGCCGGCCUGAGAGGGCGACCGGCCACAUUGGGACUGAGAUACGGCCCAGACUCCUACGGGAGGCAGCAGUGGGGAAUAUUGCACAAUGGACGGAAGUCUGAUGCAGCAACGCCGCGUGCGGGAUGACGGCCUUCGGGUUGUAAACCGCUUUCAAUUGUGACGAAGCUUU
rnacentral:rRNA from 2 species